AUUGAACGCUGGCGGUAUGCUUAACACAUGCAAGUCGAACGGCAGCAUUUUCUAGCUUGCUAGAAAGAUGGCGAGUGGCGAACGGGUGAGUAACGCGUAGGAAUAUGCCUUAAAGAGGGGGACAACUUGGGGAAACUCAAGCUAAUACCGCAUAAUCUCUUCGGAGAAAAGCUAGGGACCUUCGGGCCUGGCGCUUUAAGAUUAGCCUGCGUACGAUUAGCUAGUUGGUAGGGUAAAGGCCUACCAAGGCGACGAUCGUUAGCUGGUCUGAGAGGAUGACCAGCCACACUGGAACUGAGACACGGUCCAGACUCCUACGGGAGGCAGCAGUGGGGAAUAUUGGACAAUGGGGGCAACCCUGAUCCAGCAAUACCGCGUGUGUGAAGAAGGCCUGAGGGUUGUAAAGCACUUUCAGUGGGGAGGAGGAUACUUAGGUUAAGAGCUAGAGUAUUGG
rnacentral:rRNA from 1 species